rnacentral:rRNA from 1 species
CCCUUAGAUGUUCGGAGCUGCACGCGCGCUACACUGAAGGAAGCAGCGUGUUAGAGCACCUGGCUUGAAAGAGCUGGGUAAUCCGGUGAAUGUCCUUCGUGAUAGGGAUAGAUUAUUGAAAUUAUUAAUCUUGAACGAGGAAUUCCUAGUAAACGCAGAUCAUCAAUCUGCAUUGAUUACGUCCCUGCCCUUUGUACACACCGCCCGUCGCACCUACCGAUUGGAUGGUCCGGUGAAGCCUCGGGAUUGUGGUUCUUGCCGCUUUAUUGUGGCGUGACCGCGAGAACUUGUCUAAACCUUAUCAUCUAGAGGAAGGUGAAGUCGUAACA